CUACGGGGUGCACCAGUGGGGAAUGUUGCACAAUGGGCGCAAGCCUGAUGCAGCCAUGCCGCGUGUAUGAAGAAGGCCUUCGGGUUGUAAAGUACUUUCAGCGGGGAGGAAGGGAGUAAAGUUAAUACCUUUGCUCAUUGACGUUACCCGCAGAAGAAGCACCGGCUAACUCCGUGCCAGCAGCCGCGGUAAUACGGAGGGUGCAAGCGUUAAUCGGAAUUACUGGGCGUAAAGCGCACGCGGGCGGUUUGUUAAGUCAGAUGUGAAAUCCCCGGGCUCAACCUGGGAACUGCAUCUGAUACUGGCAAGCUUGAGUCUCGUAGAGGGGGGUAGAAUUCCAGGUGUAGCGGUGAAAUGCGUAGAGAUCUGGAGGAAUACCGGUGGCGAAGGCGGCCCCCUGGACGAAGACUGACGCUCAGGUGCGAAAGCGUGGGGAGCAAACAGGAUUAGAUACCCGAGUAGUC
rnacentral:rRNA from 1 species